rnacentral:rRNA from 1 species
UACGAAGGGGGCUAGCGUUGCUCGGAAUCACUGGGCGUAAAGCGCACGUAGGCGGGUCUUUAAGUCAGGGGUGAAAUCCUGGAGCUCAACUCCAGAACUGCCUUUGAUACUGAGGAUCUCGAGUCCGGGAGAGGUGAGCGGAACUCCGAGUGUAGAGGUGAAAUUCGUAGAUAUUCGGAAGAACACCAGUGGCGAAGGCGGCUCACUGGCCCGGUACUGACGCUGAUGUGCGAAAGCGUGGGGAGCAAACAGG